UACGUAGGGGGCAAGCGUUAUCCGGAUUUACUGGGUGUAAAGGGAGCGUAGACGGCAGUGCAAGUCUGAAGUGAAAGGCAAGGGCUCAACCCUUGGACUGCUUUGGAAACUGUGCUGCUGGAGUGUCGGAGAGGCAAGUGGAAUUCCUAGUGUAGCGGUGAAAUGCGUAGAUAUUAGGAGGAACACCAGUGGCGAAGGCGGCUUGCUGGACGAUGACUGACGUUGAGGCUCGGAAGCGUGGGGAGCAAACAGG
rnacentral:rRNA from 1 species